rnacentral:rRNA from 1 species
CCGUGAUAAAGUAGCAUAAUCACUCGUCAUUUAAUUGGUGACUGGAAUGAAUGGUUACACGAAUCUUUAACUGUCUCAAGAAGAAAGUUCAAUUAAUUUGAAAAAACAGUGAAGAUGCUGUUAACAAAAUCGUAAGACGAAAAGACCCUUUCGAGCUUUACUAUAAGCUUAUAGAAAAAAUCUUUAAUAAAAAUAUAAUAAAAACAAACUGUAAGCUAGUUAGUUUGGUUGGGGCGACCACCUCUAAAACAGUAUCAGAGGAAAUCUAAAGGUAUAAUAGUAAUAUUAAUUGCCUUACUGUAUACAAACAAGUUAAUCAGUUACUAUUAUGUAGGAUAUAAUGACCCGUUGAAUUAAUUUCAAAAUUCAACGACCAUGAAAAAAGUUACCGUAGGGAUAACAGGGUAAUAUUAUCAAAGAGUUCAUAUCGAUGAUGAU